GACGAACGCUGGCGGCGUGCUUAACACAUGCAAGUCGAACGGAAAGGCCCUGCUUGCAGGGUGCUCGAGUGGCGAACGGGUGAGUAACACGUGGGUGAUCUGCCCCUUACUUUGGGAUAAGCCUGGGAAACUGGGUCUAAUACUGGAUAGGACCAUGCUGUAGGUGGUGUGGUGGAAAGAUUAGUUUCGGUAAGGGGUGAGCUCGCGGCCUAUCAGCUUGUUGGUGGGGUAAUGGCCUACCAAGGCGUCGACGGGUAGCCGGCCGGAGAGGGUGGACGGCCACAUUGGGACUGAGAUACGGCGCAGACUCCUACGGGAGGCAGCAGUGGGGAAUAUUGCACAAUGGGCGCAAGCCUGAUGCAGCGACGCCGCGUGGGGGAUGACGGCCUUCGGGUUGUAAACUCCUUUCAGCCAUGACGAAGCCCUUGUGGUGACGGUAGUGGUAGAAGAAGCACCGGCUAACUACGUG
rnacentral:rRNA from 1 species